GAGAGGCUCGAAGGAAGAGACGCGAGGAGAAGGAGGGGAGGGGAGGACUUAAUCGUCCACGGCCUCCUAGAGUUCUCUCUCUUUCGAGUGCGCCGCGAGAAAUACGAGGACCUGUCACUGAAGUGGCUGGAACUUCUAUUGCCGCCGCGAUAUACCGUGCAGUUUACAUACCUCUCCCGUUUUGAUCGUUUCCCCAUUAAUCCUUAACGUGCCGGGCCUAAAAUACGUUCAGUAUUUCUUCAUCAGAAAUGCUUUGAGUUAAAAUAUUCGUGUGUCCAUUAAUAAAGUAUUUUAUCUUGUAUAUUGCUAUAGUGUUUUCGACGUAAAAGUAUCAGACGUGAUAAUUUUGAAAGGAAGAAAGUGACGGUGCUCGCUCGUGUGCUAAAACGUUUGGCACGUCAUGAACGAUACUGUAAUAAUGCGAAUCCAACAAUAAUCGUUACCACGAUCAACUGGCUUGCUUCUCUGGCGAUGAAAAAGUUCUGGUAAUUAAUUAGUUGCUGUAACGAAUAGCGAAGACUUGGAGCAAGGGAGUUAACAAGAAUUAUGUGUCCUCUGCUUUCGGGAGAGGAGCUUACUAAUUGGAUCGCGUAAUGAAACCGAGCGAGAUGAUAAAUUGAAUAGGUUCGUUAAGCAGCUAGUAUUUUCGUGGAAGACGUAUAAUAACUGUUCGCGGUUUACGAGCAGGAUCUUCUCUUUUUCCUUCUCUCUCUCUAUCCUCCUUCCUCCGCAAAAGAGAUUCACGAGUCCCCCCUCUCCUUCUGCCCCUCCUCUUUCUUUUUUUUCCCCCCCUUUCAUGCGCGCACGCCACGUCUUUUUGCGUCGACGUUUUACUUCGCGGCGGAAUAUGCAAGUUCCCGCGACUUUAAGCACCUAAAUCUUGUUUCUUGCGUGCAACAUAUUACGAAAGUUUGAUAUUACAGGGAUAUAAGACGCUCGAGAGAGUUUGCGCGCGUCUUUCUGUCAGUUACCCCAACGUCUGCCGAUACGCGUCCUGUUUGCCUUCAAUGGCGGAAGUGGAGCGUAUUGGCGACGAGGAAAUGCCGCUGUUGACCGUGUCGACGUCGAAACGCGAAAGUUGCUUGGUAGUUACGGCUCGGGGAUGUGAAGGGGAGUUGACAACUGUUGUACUUUUCUUGUAUAACUCAUAGUUACGCUAUUAUGUCGGUGGAUAUGAAACGUUGUUUUGCCAAACUUUAAAAUUAGUAGAAUCCUCUUGUACAAUCGGAGUGUUUGUGAUAAAAAAACAACUUUUGUCAAAUUCUUUUCUUUCCCCCCUUCAGAAAAAUAAUCCUGGCAUUUUAAAACAGAACAGAAAUACCAAUUUUCAAAAUAAUCGUUUCAAUUUACAAUUUUUUAUAAUUCGAUUUUCUCAAAUUUUCUAUAAAAAAAAAUAAUUCCAAUUUCAAAUAUUUCAAUUCACGAAUCCCUUCAAUAUCUAUAACUUCUCUCUCUUUCUCACUCUUCCCUCUGACCCAUUAACCCAUUUGGCAAAAAAUUCCACGCCAGACCGAUUGCAUAUAAUAAAACACGUUCACCGUCCAACGAACGCGUUACACGUACAGGGAGACAUAAUGAACAGAAUCGCCGCCGGUGCAUUCCAAUUUCGAGUUCGAAUAAGGGGAUAGUCGGAAGGGAUGAGAGCGCGUGCACGUGGUCGAUCGGUGCGCGAUCGAAACAGGCUGCAUCGAACAAUGGUCAUUGUAUCCAGGAAUCCAGGAAUUAACCGUAACCGUGCGGGCCCAUUUCAAGGAUCAUGGCGCGACUGUCGCGUGAAAAGGCUUAAUCGGUAACACCGUCAAAGCGAGCGGCGCUGUCGUCGCGUAUUAUACGAAAUCCCUAGCGCACUUGUCACGGAGUCGUACGUUACUAUACGGUUAUACUUUGAUGUAAUGGCACAAUGUGUUAUAACGCGUCUACGUAUUUCGGACAAUGUGUGCUCGCGCUCCAUGAACUCGAUUCACCGCGACUGCGGAAGAUAUAUCGGAUCGUUUGGUAAAUUGGUAGUUGAAUAUGAUAUUACGAUUGUUAUAUCGUUUGGAAGUACGGAUCUUUUGCAGAGGAAAAAUAAUAUAUCGCUCGUCAUUGCUUGUCUAUUCAAUAAGAAAUUCACCUAACCUCAAAAUCAACGAAAUUCUUCGGAAAUUGAACGGAUCAAAAUUUAAUUAUCCAUCUCUAUACGCUAUUAAUAUUCAUCCUCAUUUCAUCCUCGAAUCGAAUUUUAAUUAAAUUAUUAUCAGAAUUAUCACUCGACACUCCCUAUAACGUAUCUAACCUUAUGUAAUCGUAUAAAGUGCCUCUCCAAUACAAGCAUCUUGCUCGACACACGUACAUUAAUCGUUACCGGACUAUCCUGUACACAAGCAUCUGCAGCUGCGUGCACAGUCGCGUUCUUGGAACAGGAGUGCAAAGUGAGGAGGAGAAGCAUACCGUGCGGAGGAGCAACCGUUCCCUCCCUUGCCCAGACGAGGACCGGUGUACAAGACAGACAACGUACGGGGCGACGUGCAUGUUCGCUUAUACCCGUGUAUAAGCGGGCCCGUCUAAAGCAGCGCCUAUCAAUGCCACUUGUGCGACAAUAUGACAAUGAACGGCUAUAGCACGGCUCGACUAAUACGAAAGGAGGCCGAUACCGAAAGAGUUUAUCGCUUUUGCCUCGAUCGAAUCACGUUCAGUCGGACAUUACACUUGAAUAGCAGCCGUGAACAACAGCUUCGAGAAUAGAUCUACUGGGAGAUCUGAGAGAUGAGACUGCGUUUCCUCGCCUUCUCUCUCGCUUCUCGACUCGACAAUAACGUGUUUUGUGCAGCGUGAUCGUCAUAACGGAGCGAAAAAGUGGGGAAUGGAGAGGAGGAGGGGAUGAGCGAUCGUUCGAGAAACUUCUGCCAAAUCGAUGGCAGUAGAUGGUAGGAAUGUAUUACGUAUUUUUAAAGAGCGCCUAGGCUGUUCGCGUUAAUUGUAUCGUUUUUUUGAACGAUUGAACAGAUGGAGGGAGGGAGGGCGGUCGUUUCUUUCAGGGAUUCGUGUGUCUGUGUACGAGCAGAGACGCAAAAGUUGAAUUUAAGGGCGACGCUCGUUACCCGUUUCCCUGAUUUCGUUCGACCGUUCCCUGGAAAGGUCUUCGAUCACUCGUUAAACGGACCUCUCGUUAUUAAUUAUCGAGGAAGAGCAAAAAUUCUUUGUCAAGUAUUUUUUCUUUUUUUUUUUUUCCAUUUAUUUCUUGCUCCUUCAAAUCCUGGAAAUCAUUUUGUUUCGAGAGUAAAUUAUACUCUUAAGCAUUUCACUAAUGGUUAAAGAUUAAACAUUUUGGUUUAUUGGCAUAUGAUGGAUCAAAUUUGCCAUAAUUUGAUCUCUUAAAUUAAAAUUGUAUGUAUUUAAAGAGAAAGGCAAAAGAACUGUUACGUUGUAAUGUAGCUAUCAUAAAUCAGGAACAAAUUCGUAAAUAUAUAUAUAUAUAUAUAUAUAAUUUAUUACUGUUUUAUUUGAAUAAAUUUUCAAAUAGAAAAAAUAUAAGAAAUUACAUUAAAAAAAAUAUCCUUGAUGAUAUAUCCUAUAUGAAAUAUCAUACACGAUGAAAAGCGGCUUAAACUAUGUGAAAUUUCACCUGAAUCGAUGACAGAUGCACCAAAAUGUACAUAAAACCUGUACCGAGGACUACUCAUAGCUGAGGAUCAUUGUUGCAACAGCAGAAACAAUUUUUCGACGAGAUUUCCCGUGGUACUGUGGGAUUUUACAAGCGUUCGUAUACUACUUGCCACGCGAAAACAAACACCGGCGUUUCCAUUACAAGCGAUGAAUCGCAACAUUUAUCCGACGUUUCACUGAAAUUGUCGUUCUUUUUUCAGAAAUCGUUGUUAGAUAAAGAUUCUUUGGAGAAUAAGCGAUAAUUAACUCGAAUCGAGGUAUGAAAAGAAAGAACUUAAUUUCGAUUUGAAGUUAACGACGUGCAACAAUAAGAAUUUAUAUACUUGAAAAAUAUUAUAUUCAAAAUAUUAAAGAUAACAUUUUUAUUUA